AAAUGGUCAGUUGGAAGGUGAACUCAGCUGCAAGAAGAUAAAGCAAGCGUGCUGAUCAGUGUGAGAAAGAAGUAAUGGCAAUGAAGUAAGGUAAGAUCACCCUAAUCUGCACAUGGCAUACAAAUACAAACAGUGACACAUGCAAAUAACGUGCAAAAGGGAGACAGACACCAGUGACUCUUAGAGGACAAAGCAGAGGAACAAAUUGGCAUUUUAUCAUAAACAAGUCAAGCCUCCAUCUUAAAAUGAUGCAUUUUUAGCCUCCAAAAAGAAAGUUGCAGGUGUGUUCAAAAGCAUAAGAUUGAAUACAAAAGCUAAAGCUAACAUUACACAAGGACAAGGUUGAACGAUACAAUAAAUAACGAAAACAAUGCAUAUUCUCUAUAAGGCAGAAUGUGAUCCAAAAAUCUUACCGAGAUACUCCCUCCGUUAUAUAAUGUUUAGAGCAAGCUAAACGUCAUAUAUUUAAAAACAGAGGGACUAUCAAAAUAAAAUCUAGUCAGGGGAAAGAGGAUUUCAUUCACACAACGAGUAAGCGCAUCACACAAUCAAAAUUAUGAUAACAUGUUAUAAUUGACUUUGCUGUGGCCUGUGGGGAUCUCCCCCACAGUUCUUCCAUCAACAAAAUAUAACAGGCAAAUACAGAAGUGCUGAGAUUGCAACAGACAGUGCAUGGGCAAUAGGGUUUCAGGCAAUUACAGAAUCAUAAGAUCCUGUCUUUGAUUUUCAAUAAAAGCAUAGAUUAAUCAUGUCUCUAAAAAAGUUGGUUAUCAACCAUAUAAUUCAAUCCCAGCAAUCACAGCCUUCAAGAGUCAGACCUAGUACUCCUAAAUGCAUUAUUAUAGCCAAUGUUGUCAACAGCAAAAGAAAAUACAAGUUAACUGCAUCCAUAGCAUACCUCAAAACGCAUGUGCCUUUUUUCCAGUAAUGAUUUGGGAAAUAUGAAGUCCCCUGCUGAAGGCUUCAUUGAACAGGAUCCUUGUUUGCAUUUCCUGAAGCCCAGGCAACCAUGACAACACAGCCACAGGUGCAAUAACAAUUACUCCGAACAAUAUAUCGUACAAACGUGCUACAGUCACCACAGUUUUCCACACUAUCUCAGACCUCCUCAGAUAUGGCUUGAAUACCAGAGCAAUAGAUAUGAUUCCCCAGCCAGUUGGCAGAAAAGCCAAAAGACUAGUAAAAGUAUCAACAAACUGAAACUUUGUGAAUUUUAACAGCACAACAAUAGCAGCCACUGUACCACCAACAAUGAUUGCCUGGACAAGACGAUACCGUAUGUGCUUUUUUGCUGAAUAUCUGUCUCGAAAAUAAGCCACUGUCACCAGAGCCACAAAAGCUAGGAGAAUGCAUGCCCAUGAUAGAAGAUAGACAAGGAUGCUUCUACUCUGACCAGCAAUGUGAAGCCGAUAAACAAUUGCAUACUGAAAGAAGAAAAAUCGAAGGUCUAAUAUGAUUUCCAAGAUACUGCCCCAUAGACCAGUUGUCCGGAGAUGAUCAGUUUCCUCCUCCCACCACGUCUCCCAGCUUUGAUCUGACUUGACUGAGAUCCCACCCCGGAACCAAAUCCAGUUUAGAAAAUCCUCAAAGUCAUUAAAAUUCUUCAGCCAAUCUAAACCAGAAGGAUUAAAAAUGAAGGGAGCAAGAAUCCAUGAAGACACAAGAAACCAACUUGAAAUUGUCAGCAGAAUAUACACCAGCGUAUUCCCAGAGGCACUGCCAUAAGAUGCAUAAACUGUCAAUAUCACACCAAGCUCUAUUGCUUUGAUGAAAUGGCUGCGAGCAUAGAGCCUAUAGUUCUCAGCAAACUUCUUAUGCUCCACAACAAAACCUCGGCCAGUAGCCCGAUACUUCGCACCUCCAUGAAGGAUUGUCCUCCCAUAAUAGUGUGUCUUAGUUCCCAUGGAGAAGGUGUAGAAAACAGAUGCAAACUGUAGUUGCAUUUUCAUGAAAUCCCACACAGCAGUGAGGAAACCAUGCUCAAGUGAGUUUUCAAUAAUCAUGGGUAAAGCUGUGAACAGGCCAAGCUGUAUGACGAACUGCUGAUUGAGGACAGCUCCCAGGGCUGCAUUGUUAGUAGAGGAAGUGUUCUUGCUGAUGUAGUCCUCGAGCCCACUGAGUGCAAGGUAAAAGCGCCCCCAAACAAAUGCAUAGACAGUAAGCACAACCAUCAUUGUGUUGAAAUAAAAUCCGACAGUUGUAUAGAAGAAAGAAAGCAUCCGGAAGAAAUCCAAUCGGUGGCCCAGCCUGUAAACAUCUCGGCUCAAAGUUUGCUCACCAUUGCCACUAGCAACUUUGGCUUCAAACAUAGAGACCUGGUUGAGCCCCACGUCUCUACCUUUACCAACCUGAAUAUACUCAUGGUGUGUAACAUUGCCACCACGGAGGGUACAGUUGAAACCAGCGAAUAUGUCCUCACUGAUGUUGAUCACUUUUGAUGCUUUACUGAUACCACCUCGCCCCAAGAACCAAAGGCGAUCAAAGACGUCGGGGUGGCCAUAAUGCAUUCUGACUUUAAGUGGAUCAGCCAGAACACGCUGCCCCAGAGUGACAAAACUUGUUUCCUGGGCAGACAUGAACCAAGCAAGAGAAGAAACAGAACCCGUGAACACAUGUUCCCGAACUCCAAGAAUUUUGGGCUUGCGAAUUCCAUAAUAACGAUUGAACUCUUCUAGCAGGUUUCUCAUCUUUAGAGCCUCUUCAAAGUAAUUAUCUUGGUUCAUAUCAAUCGUUUGAACCGCAUCACCCCUUGUGAAGAUUAGUGCAUGAUUCUGAUUUUCCGGUUUUCCUUCACCAAGCUUUAACUCUCCAGGCAACUUAACCCUGUAAAUUUCAACCUCCCGCUGCAGUAGCUGAUCGUAUUUCACAAGAACAGAGAAGUACUCUGUUUCACCACCAUUGUUCUGCCUUUCGUCAACAUAGGCAACACGUAAUGCUUCAUAAUUUUUCAUUAGCUCCAAUAUUUCAAAAGCACGGGGGUCAUUCUUAGCUUUCUGCUGACCAUAUAUCUGGCAUGCAACUACAUAUGUGUAUUUCAUGAGGACAGUCCCAUACUCACUUCCUUUAAACAAGGAGCUCACACUGCUGCUUGCUCUGCUCAAUGCACGUGAGGAAGAUGCCCUGCUGUAAUAGCCUGACCCACCAGCAACCCCAUCAUGCCUCGAGGAUCCAAUUCUUGAAGAACCCAUAGUAGCUAGCUCCCUUGACCCAGCCUUUAAGUCAUGUUCAGAGGCGGAAUCCAGAAAGGUCAGCAUUUUGAGAGCUUCGUAGUAGUACAUCAUGCCCCUCACUGUACGUGAUAAUGUCUGCCCCCUGUAUGAGACCCAGUGUCGAAGAUCUCUCAGCCUUUCCUUCUCGCUGUACAGCUCCUUAAUAUCAGACAUUCCCUCACGCUUCAUUCUCUCCACGAAGUACUCCCACUCAUCUGGGUAAAUCUGUUGUAGAUAGUAUAAGAUUGAGAUGCCAUCUUCGUUCUCCUUAUAGAGCUGGUCCUUGCUGUACAACACCUCCUCAUUAUAAUAAGGAGUCAAGACACUGAAAGCCAUCAUCUUCUCCACUUGGGUUGCCCUGGGUAUGUUCAUAAACAAUGAAUUACUGAAAAAGGCAAUCCUUCGACGAGCUUCCAGGUUCAUUGGCACAUUGAUCAUAGAGUCCCUGGAGGUCAGGAUGGUGUGCAUGCGCCUCACUUGCUUAUAGAAGGUAGCGUUCUCCUCUCCAGGCAGCACAACUGCAUCCACAAAGAGAAGGCUGGUGGGCCUUGACUGUGCAAGGCCUUCAUUUCUCAGUUGUUCCAUGCUCCUCUUCUCAGCCUGGAAAUCACGAAUGACAACGUCAUAGAGAGUCUGCAAGGCAUUGACUAUCUUGGUAAAAUCCUUGGUGGGUUUGAGAAGUAGGCUCAACAGAGCUACAAGCCUUGUAUGGACAUUAUGCAGCUCAGUCAUCUUAUACUCCACAGUGAACUUCUCUGUUGCCAUGGAUCCAUCAAAAUCGUUGAACAAUUGUGUAACAAUGCCAUGUUCCUCAGUCCCCUCCUUGAUGAUCUCAAGCAGCAAGUGUUUUGCACUAUCAUAGACCUCAACCACUGCACAACGACGAUAAUCGUUCUUGCAGAUCUUCCUCCAUAGCCUGCGAUCAGGUCCUUUGACCUCCUUUGCCUGACCAAGUGCAAGAGACAGCUCAUUACAGAGCAAGAAACAAGGCCAGCGGAUUACACGCACAUUCCACAGCUCAGGCGGCAGCUCAAGGAGCUCAACCUCACGAUCACUAACAAUGUCCUCCUCCCGGAACUUGCUUAUUAUUUCAUUCCAAACAAGUGCAAAUCGCCGUGCCUCCACCUGAUUUGACUCAAUCUUCCGGAAUGAUCGGCUGAAACCAUACCUUAGCUGUACCCGCUGCCAGAAAUUGCGAAGCCGGUUGGGCAAGAAGCUCUCAUUCACCUGCUGCUCCUCUGGCAUGAUGUUGAAUGACAUGGCACUUGCAAAGAACUGGAACCGAAGCCGCAGCUGUUUCAUGUCCCUGAUCUCCCCCAAGUGUGCAAAAAGCCCCACAAGUGCACCAGUCAGAGAAGAAAAGAUAGCAUACCAAAUCUGGAUAUCCAUGAGGUAGAUCAACACCACUGGUAACCAGAGAACAAACACUGCAAAUCGAUUGCUUUGGCCAAAGAACUCAUGCCAAGUGUACUUGAUUCCACUCAGCUUGUAUAUCUCUUUUGUGGGUUUUACAAGCGGCCUAAUUUGGAGAAAAUAGCUGAAGGCAAACUUCACGGCAAGCAAAAGCACCCAAAAGAAGGAGUACUUAACAUUGUCAAUGGUGCUCUCACGUAAUCCUCGGCCAACAAAGCUGCGGCUAUGGAACCACCAGGUGAGGGCGUAACAGAUUUUCCAGUUGGUCUUCUCCAAUGCAUUCCGCACCCAGGGCACAAUGAAGAGCACGAGGGCAAGGACCUCAGGGAUAACAAACAAUGCAGCUGCAUAGAGGAACCUCAUGAUCCGUGAAUUAGCAGCUGACGACCACUGUCCAUUGCUUCUCCUCUGGUCCCAGAUCCCCUUGUAUAGGACAGCAAACGCAAGGACCCAUGCUGCUGCAGCAAUGACCUUGAGCACCAUGCGCACAGCAAGCAUGCGACCAUCCCUGAAGGCACGGCGGAACUGCGUGCCGAUGUCCAGCAAGGACUGGAGGAAGCGGAGUGCAGCCCAGGUGAUGAAAAUGGUGAGCACGCGCACCUGUGUGUCCUUGGACCUUGAGCCCUGGGACGAGAUUAGAUCAUCCCAUGGCCACUUCGCGCCCUCCCACGCCACGAUGGCCGCAGCUUGCAGAUAGAGCACCAGCAUCACCCACAGCCUGUCGAAACUCCGAUAAAUGUUCCAGAAGGAGCGGACCUCGACGAAGCCCGUCUUGCGGACGCGGGUGCGGUCGGGUGGGGUGCGGAAGAACUGGCGCGCCUGCUCCAUGGGCCAGCCGAGGCGGUCGAACACGUCACGGCGCCAGAAGUACUCGUUGAUGUCGUCGUAGUUCCUCCAGGCGGCGUGCGGCGCGGUGCCACCGCGGCUGGACAGGACCUCUGCGCGGAUGACGCCGUAGAUUGGCGUGACGACGCGCGUGAGGAAGGCGUUCUCGCCGUGCACGGCGGGGUUGGCGGGGCGGCCCGUGGCGACGUCGGUGUAGCCCUCGAGGAUGCGGUGCAGCUCGAGCGCCAUGUGGUGGUAGAUGUAGCAGAGGCACUCGGGCACGAAGCGGAGGUUGGCGGCCUCGCCCCAGACGAGGAGGUACAGGCCGGUGAAGAGCAGAUCGGCGCGCGGGUCGCCGUCGGGGACGUGGACGUUGGGGCGGCGGCCGAGGAAGCCGCACCAGGAGGUGUAGUUGCGGAGCAGCUUCCUCCGGAUUUGGCGCGCGAUGCGGGGGUCGAGCGUGUCGGAGAAGUCGGCGGAGGUGAGGUGCAUCUGCGCGUUGGCGAGGAGGAGCACGAGGUGCUCCCGCUGGUUCCUGACGUUGUCGCGCUGGAAGCCGAAAAAGGCGCCGAGCCAGUCCAUGAUGUCGUGGUCGGCGCGCCACUGCGAGAAGGGCGGCGGGCGGAGGCCCCCCACCGCCCGCAGCGCCGCCGCGGCCGCCCGCACCUCGGGGAACCGCAGCGACGGGUGGUCGGCGAGGAGAUCGUGGAUGGGCAGGAUGUUGUAGGGCUCGCCGCCCGCGGCCGCCGCCGGGGCGGCCGCGCGGCGCUGGGCGGCGCGCGGCGUGGUCAUGCUGGCAUUGGGUGGGCGUGGGGCUGGGGUAGAUCUGGAGGCGGUGGGGUAGGAAGUCGAAGGGGGUGGGAGCUGGAAGGAAGGGGAAGGGUUUGGGGAUGGUUUGAAAAUUGAAAUCCGGGGCGGCCGGCGUGGGGAAGGGGAUGAUGGACUGUGGAGUGCCGGGACAGGGGAGCGGAGGAAUUGAGAAAGCGCAGCGCAGGCGGGCUGGCGGGGUGGACGGGCGUGGGGGUGCUGCGCCGCGCUACGCGGCUGGGGUGGGAAACGCGAAUACGACGCGACCCAGGGGCCGGGGCGGGCUCGCGUGCGUGACUAGCCGAAAUCCAUGGACCGGUGAAACGGCGAUCGUGGGGCCCAGCUCGUGGUUUUGGAAUCGGUUUCAGGGUUUGUUUGGGUCAGAAACCUUCUCAAGGAAGUGUUGAGAUUUCCAUUCCUCUCUCCUAGCUGCGGCCGAAGUUUAAUCCGUGUCAUAUUGAAUAUUUGGAGGCUAAUUAGAAGGAUUAAAUAUAAAUUAAUUAUAAAACUAAUUACACAUAUGGAGGCUAAACGGCGAGACGAAUCUAUUAAGCUUAAUUAAUCCAUCAUUAGCAAAUGGUUACGGUAGCAGCACAUUGUCAAAUCAUGAACUAAUUAGACUUAAUAGAUUCGUCUUGCCGUUUAGCCUCCAUCUAUGCAAAUAGUCUACGUUUAAUACUCCUAAUUAGUAUCUAAACAUUCAAUGUGACAUGAACUAAAGUUUAACCCGGGGAUUCAAACACCCCUUAACUCCAAACGUAAGUGCCAUCAAUGGCUAGUAAUAGAUGUUCAUUUACACUUUUGAUUCAUAUAUAGGGUUUAUAUACUUUAUAUUAAGAGAAGUAGGUCCUUGCCUGCCCGUUAUAUCAAAUGAGCAGCUCUUUUUUUUUCCUUUUUUGGAAGAAUUAAAUUAUCUUGUAUCUGCUUCUCCAUGUAGUAUAGGACAAUUCUAUUGCGAACCGCGUAUUUAACAUGUUGUCGAUCCUUGGCAUGACUAGCUUCCAACGCACGAUUAAAAGCUGAUGGUAAUUAACCAUCGCAUUUGCUUAUCAAAAGGAUGGAAAUUUCCUGUCAGAAUAUGCUCUCUUGCGCUACAGAUCGAAAAAUCGAUACUUUCCAUGGAAACUGUUGACUUUCUUUUACCGUGUGCCGCGUUCGCCGCAUCUACCAUCUCAUUUUUGUGUUUCUAAUCGAAUCCGUUGCGAUAAAGAAUCACGCCUUCUAUUACGCGCAAAGUCCAAGUUGGAACGCGUACUGCUGAAGGGAUACGAAGGUUGGAGUGAAUUUGUAGUCCCUCUCAGGUACUCAUGUUUUCUACGAAUUGAAAUUGAAUCUUACGUAACCGAUGAGUCCUAAUAUUAUAUGUUUUAGAAAAAAAAUCAUACUGCUCUCAAAUAUAUCAAAAGUGCGGAUAAUCCCUAAGUUGUUUUUGGUUCCUUUAUUUCUAAACUAUACCAUUCGGUUCUAUAUACCCCUAAUAUAAUUUGUAUUUUUAUUUCUUCAUACACAAGUUGAAUUUUAAUUUCAAAUUUUGCAUCGUGGUAGUGGACAUCACAAUGCAUGUCAAAAACUAUAUUAUGAAUUUUUUAUCAUUUUUAUAUAAAUUUGUACCCCAAGGAUUAUUUAUUAUUAAAUAUCCUACGCUAUCAAAAUAAUGAUAAAAAAUAAUGAUAUAUUUUUCUAACAUGUGUUUAUGAUGUCUCAUAUUAUCUCCCAAAAUUUUAACUUAAAAUUCUACUUGUGCAUGGAGGAAAAAAAAGAUAAAUUGUAUUAGGGGAGGAGCUAAAGUGAAUAAAAAAUAGUUUAGGGGUUAUACGAAUAUUGGGUAUACUUGGGGAAUAAUUUAAAAAAAAUUCAAAGUAUAAGAAUUUCAUGGUGUCAAAAAUGAUCAAAGAAAGGAUAUUACAGUUUUACAUUCACGCAUAGACACAACAUCAUGAGAUUCAUGGGAAAGCAAGAUUGCCAUGACUGCAGAUUGAGGGUUCAAGGUGCAAUAUAAAUAGCAUGCCGGGAGGCAUACUCUGAUUUUGUAAUCAUGUCAAUGCAUAUUUCAUAUUUUUAUUUUUAAGGAUACCACGUAAGUAAGAUGGCAUUCAUUUCAUUGCUGAAACAGUUCUAUACAAUAUACAAGUUUCAUUAUUUUCUUAUUUCAAAAACUACACGCAAGAUAUAGUUUAUAUUGAAAAUAAUGUAUACAAUAUUUCAUUUAGGAAAAACUCAUUCCACUUAUCUCCACAUUAGUUUUUUAUAUUAUUAAAUGGUGACGUGAUAUUCUAUUUAAUAAGAGUAACCCAUAUGUAUGGCGCCGAUCAUUCAAUAAUAUUUAAAAAGAUUGUCAACCAACAAAACUACAAAGCUAGCGAAGGUAAGGCAGGCCCAACUCUACACGGUGUGUAGUGGCCUCGCCUUGUGUCGUACGUACCUCUAUGGUCCACCAGAAGAUUGGACAGUCCUAUAUACAGAGUUGGACACCGAAAUGUGUCACAUAUGGAAAUUACGAUGCAGAACGAUAUGGUCUACGUGGUAAGAUAAGAACUAGUCGAGGAUUAGGAAACUACUCGUAGCAAUUAGAGUAGGACUCACUAGUCGAAUCCGACUAGUAUUCUUAUUCUUGUAAAUCAACCGACCUGUAACCCUGCCCCCAACAAUAUAAGGCAAGGCAGGGACCCCCUCCAAAGUAGUUCAAUCCAAUUCAAUAUAACCAACACACAGGACGUAGGGUAUUACGCAAUCUAGUGGCUCGAACCUGUCUAAUUCAUAUGUUCGAGUUCACCAUCGAGUUCCUGAUCUCGGCGAGCCUCACGCACUAAACACUACCUCGGGCACCCCUUCGGUAGGUUGCCGGGUCUAAACACUGAUAGCUGGCAUGCCAGGUAGGGGCUUUCGCUGAGAAUCCAAUAGCGAACUCGAUGACCCAAGUCAUCAUUAAGCCCACCGCCGCGUUCGAAGCGGGCGCGGCAUUCAAUUUUAGCUCCUGGGUUUGCAUUGCAGACGGCGCUAGAAACUUCCACCACCAUAUUGCACCAGCCCUGGAGAAGAAGCAGCACACCAUCAACCUUCACCGCCAAACUCUGGAGGAUCUCGUUGAGAAAUUUGGCAAAUUUUCAAUUUCUGAUCUAGUCAGAGGCUGAGGGAACAAGUUCGAGUACAACUCGACUUCUCCUGCAAGUCGAACUGGUUUUCAUGUGUCGGCGCUUAAGCCAUUGUGGGAAUCGGUCUACGACCCAAGUCGAUUCCCGUUCGGACUCCGAAGCGCGGGUGCCAUCUACCAGGCCACCCCUUCCAGAUCACAAUUCAAUUCGGAUUUGAUUGAGCACCUCAACUACUACACGGAUCCGGAUGAGAAGACUCUAUUAUCAGGUCCACAACAAGGCCUGGUGAGUACAUCAACUCCACAAGGCAGAUUCGUCUACUGGCCCAGCAUGAAGCCACCUGUUCUUGCCAAGGACGACGAGUCACGCCUUAUCGCCUACCUGGGUAUCCUCCCGUACCAGGAGGGAACUCCUCUAUCACCUAUCUACGAAGAAGACAGCUCCACAUAGGUUAUCACGUCAAGUUGGGGAAGUUAUUCUCCGGAGCGGGAACUCUUCGCCCUUGAUGCGCAAGAAGGCGAAGAUGAAGAGCAACCAAAAAGGAAUUCACGACACGAACGUCACCCAGAUGACGUCUCGCGGGAUGAGCUCACCGCUAACGUCGUCGGAGAAGAAAAUGAAACUCACAAAACUCCAUGGCGAGUAAGAAACGCUGCAAGAGUAUAGCGCCACCGCCGCCUCGUAGCUGACCUGCCAAUCAUGAAUUAGAUCGCGCAUUUAAAGCAGUUCAAUUGCGUCAACACAAUACUCCUCUAGCCAUGGUAGCGUCCAUUGAUCUGAUUACUCGGGUAACACCACAAAACAAGUACACUAGGCAACUGGCUGAGCUGGCGGAAUGUGCGUAUGAGCAACUCGAUUAGCAAAACCUAAUACAUUCAGUUCCUCAUACCCCAUCCCUGCAUAGCCGUAGUCAUAGACGCACUCAGUCUAGACCAAGUCGAAUUGAGGGCGCCAGACCAAGCCAAGUCGGAGCAGAGGGUAGUCAGGUGGAACUCUCGGGAGGCCGUGACCAUUGUGGGCCCAACCCAAAGCCUGAACAGCCAGUACGUGACCUCCAUCACAAGAUCAACAACAACCGUGACGCCCGUACAAUCAUUGAAGGACGUCGCCACGAGCACGAGCAAGAAGUCGAGUACCAGGGAGAGGAUUCUGAUGGGUUCCCCGCUGUAACGGCCCUGGUCAAAUCCGCCGAGUUAAUCUCAAUCCUAGUCCCUGAUCCCCCUAUCUCAGCUCCCUCGAGCUUAAGUGCUCAACCUCCAGUUCCGGUCCCGACCCCUGAGAACCCGACCCCUUUCCGCCGGUUCCCAGCUCCGACCCCUGAAGACCCCCAACCCACCCCGCCAGUUCCUUCUAAGUCUCGCCAACAGUGUCCCCUUCAAUCUUGGGCAGAGGAGAAACUGAGACUGACGGGUGGACCCACAAAUCUUUUCCCAGAUCUCCCGAGACAGACGCACUCGAGCGGCCUGCACCACUUCAGAGUUCCCCCGACGCGUGGCUCAACUCCUCUGACCCUCGCCGCUCCGCCCAGACGUGGGCCGCGAGCAGAUGGUUUCCCGCGCCUUCCUCCCCAAUCGCAGCGGAAGCCCCUCUGCAACCUUUCUGCAGCAUCCCGUCUCGCUCGCGCCCUCGCCGGCCGCGCUUUGGUGCUCCGUUGCCGCUGUGGCAGAACUUUGCCGCUUGCUGCAUCAGACCACCUCGCGACUCAUGCCCAUCAUCACCGCGCCGGACCCCCGGCUGCAAGGCCCGAUGCCUUCCGGUUUUUCCGCCGCCUCUCCACAGUCGCGCCGCCCCGGACUGCGCUACACGACGAUUCCUCCGUCACCAAUCCCGACCCCGGCUGCAACAGCUCCUUUUCCGCCUUGCCAGAACUACGCCCCGGCAAACCACUGCUUCGCGCUCGCCCGCGCAGCCGCAGCCCGCCUGUCUUAUCACCUGUGCAACCUCGCUUAUAACGCCGUUCCCCCUGUCACACCCAUCAGAUCCGCCGCACGAUGACGCCCGCCUCCGCCAAACCGCAACCACCGGCAAAACCGCGCCUGCGCCGCCUUGUCUCCAUGCCCAAUGGCCAAAGGCAUCAUCUCCGAAGUCCUGUUCCACCGCCCAUCGCUGCUCAAUCGCCGCCAUGGUAGCGCACUCCAUUCUUUUCCUUCCUGGUCUUCGUGCUGCUCCAGCUCUCUCUCUUCCUGCGCAGCUAUAAAAGGGAACGCCCGAGUCCUACCGGAGUUCCCUUCGCCAUCGUUGCCAUACCGCCUUGUUCCCCUGUUUCGUGCUCGAGCGUUGCCACCUAAGUUCCUGAGGAACUCUCCUCUCCGCUCAACACCCGCCUUUCCCAAUCCACCCAGUCGCUUGCUCCUCCACGCUGUGCUAGAGCUUGCUUGUUGUCCACAAGAAGCACCGCCGCCGCCGGAGUACCGCCGGACAUCGCCGCUGCCCAAGUCCGCUCCUUCCCGAUCCCAAAGCUUCACCUAUAAACCGAAGGUAAGCUGCCGACCAUUUUCCGUCUCGCCCGACCCUCUCUGUUCGUCCGACCCCUUUUUCGUCUCGCCCGACCCUCUUUGUUCGUUCGACCCUUUUUUUCUGUCUCGCCCGACUAUGUCUGUUCCGUCCGACCCCUUCUCCGUCCCGCCCGAUCCUGUCUAUUUCGCCGACCCCUUUUCCACCUCGCCCGAGGACUCGGCUGUAUCUUUUUCCUUGACCAGAGGGUAUAUGUGUAAAAAAAAUCGGGGACUUCUCUACGUUAAGUCUGAGGAUCCCCAGCACAGCUAUUCCUCUAGUCUAAGGGUUAGAUCAUGAGUUUCUUCCAACCCAACCCUUGGUCUUGUUCUUUGUCCACUGAAGCUUGAACCUCCACACUUUUUCCGUAGCUUUUGCUACAAGUUUCUGGGCUAAAACUUGCGAGUGUUGCUGUUGAAAUAACCGUCUAAGUGCUAACUCCUGCUUUUGCAUUCGUGUAGAGUUGAAUCUCGCCGACGGCGUCUACGAACUGCACCCGGUGCCAGAAGACGGAGCAGUAGCUGAGCCGCCGACCGCAGGAGCUUCAGCAGAACCCUCAGAGGACCAGUUUCCCUCCCCUCCGCUUGAAGGCAAGCCCCGGAGCAUGAGCCCAACUUUCUAAACUUACCCAUGC
rnacentral:lncRNA from 1 species